rnacentral:rRNA from 1 species
UACGUAGGGUGCGAGCGUUGUCCGGAAUUAUUGGGCGUAAAGGGCUCGUAGGCGGUUUGUCGCGUCGGGAGUGAAAACACCGGGCUUAACUCGGUGCUUGCUUUCGAUACGGGCAGACUAGAGGUAUGCAGGGGAGAACGGAAUUCCUGGUGUAGCGGUGAAAUGCGCAGAUAUCAGGAAGAACACCGAUGGCGAAGGCAGCUCUCUGGGACGGUACUGACGCUGAGACGCGAAAGCGUGGGGAGCGAACAGG